rnacentral:rRNA from 1 species
UACGUAGGGGGCAAGCGUUGUCCGGAAUUAUUGGGCGUAAAGAGCGCGUAGGCGGUCCGGUAAGUCAGCUGUGAAAGUCAAGGGCUCAACCCUUGAAAGCCGGUUGAUACUGUCGGGCUAGAGUCCGGAAGAGGCGAGUGGAAUUCCCGGUGUAGCGGUGAAAUGCGCAGAUAUCGGGAGGAACACCAAUGGCGAAGGCAGCUCGCUGGGACGGUACUGACGCUGAGGAGCGAAAGCGUGGGGAGCGAACAGG